UACGGGGGGAGCAAGCGUUGUUCGGAUUUACUGGGCGUAAAGGGCGCGUAGGCGGCGCAACAAGUCACUUGUGAAAUCUCCGGGCUUAACUCGGAGCGGCCAAGUGAUACUGUCGUGCUAGAGUGCAGAAGGGGCUACUGGAAUUCUCGGUGUAGCGGUGAAAUGCGUAGAUAUCGAGAGGAACACCUGCGGCGAAGGCGGGUAGCUGGGCCGACACUGACGCUGAGGCGCGAAAGCUAGGGGAGCGAACGGG
rnacentral:rRNA from 1 species